rnacentral:lncRNA from 1 species
UGGGUUAACGACCUUUUUAAUAGCUUUCUUCUCCCCACUCUCUCCCCAGGAUGUUACAGAGAGACUUGCAGCUUCCUGCAUCACAAAGGUUUGCUUAAAGUGAGACUGUUGAACAUUUCCCCAGAAAGUAGGACCUUAAAAAACCGGAGCUGGGUCAGCGGUCAAAGAGAUUUACAAGUUAGGACCAGAAUGACCCUAGUCCUUGUUUGCUCAUGACUUGGUCGGUCUGUUUGAUUUCAAGGAAAGCAAAUGAAAAACCAGAAGCCAAAUAUUUACUUAGGUCCCGGCUUCCGUCGGAGAACAGACCUGUGAGGAGGCUGCUACCAGGAGGAGGAGUCAUUUCAUGUCUUCGUACACGUUGUUCCCUAGACUGCCCUUUUCCUCUCGGUUGCCAAACACACCCCUAUUCAGUCUGCAAGGCCCAGAGCAAAUGCCACCUUUCUUCCCAUCCUCCCCCUUAGCACCCUGUGCUUACACAUCUCAGAGCCCUUGUCUUGCUGUGUCUUAACUGUUUGCAUGUCGAUUUCUCCCCAUGACUUGCAGUUCUUUAAGAACAGGGGCUAUGUCUUUCAUCUCCGUGGGAAAGAAAAAUGUUGGUUAUCAGAGCAGAGUCCCAGAGCCCAAAGAACAGCCCAGUGGCUUUCAAACGUUUUAAAAAUCACAAACUAGAGUAACAAAUGCAUGUUAUAUCAUGAUCCAGUAACAAAUAUGCACAUGUGUGCAGAUAGACAGAUGUCUGUAAAAUGGAAACGAAAUUUCCCAAAAUAAUAUACCACAUGCAGUGCUAAUAUCUGAGAUUCUGUUUUCUAGUUUAUUCUCUAUUCAUUUUUAAAAUGUGGAUUUGGUGCACCAAAUUGAUUUUAUGAUACAUUGAUGAAUGGCAACUUGCAGUUUGAGAAAUAUUAGUGUAGGUAACACUUCAUCUGCCAUCCCCCACCACCCUUGUUUUCUGAUUUUCUGUUUGUAUUUAUUGAAUGCUUCAAACUAGGGGAGGAAGGAGGAGUUUCUUUUUUUUUGUUUUGUUUUUUUUUUGAGAUGGAGUCUCGCUUUGUCACCCAAGCCCAGGCUGGAGUGUUGUGGUGCGAUCUCGGCUCACUGCAAGCUCUGCCUCCUGGGUUCAUGCCAUUUGGAAGGAGGAGUUUUGAUUGGGAGAUUGAGCAAGAAAGAGAGUGGGCAGAUCACUUGAGGUCAGGAGGUUGAGGCCAGCCUUGCCAACAUGGCUAACAUACAAAAUACAAAAAUUAGCUGGGCAUGGUGGCACACGCCUGUAAUCCCAGCUACUCAGGAAGCUGAGGCGGGAGAAUUACUUGAACCCGGAAUGUGGAGGUUGCAGUGAGCCAAGAUCUUGCCACUGUACUCCAACCUGGGCUCCAGAGAGAGACUCCAUCUCAAAAAAAUAAAAUAAAAAUAAGUUGGGGAUCAUCUGUAAACUUCAGGCACAAACAAGGCUACUUAAGGGUCUAGAUCAGGGGUCUACAAACUACAACCCUUGGGCCUAAUCUAUCCAUCCAUCUGUUUUUAUAAAUAAAGUUUUAUUGGAACACAAACACGCACAUUUGUUACAUACUGUCUAUAGCUGCUUCUGCUACAACUGCAGAGUUGAGUAGCUGCAAUUAAGACUGUAUAACCCACAAAGCCAGAAAUAUUUGCUAUCUGGGCCUUGACAGGAAAAGUUUACCAAUCCCUGGAAUAAAUGAAAAGUGUUUCUUACCACUCUGGGAGGAAACCAGGAUGGCUCUGAGGCAUCUAAAGCAGAGUGUUAGGCAUGGGCAGUAUCCUUCUCAAAAGAGGGCAUAUUGGUCCCUUUCCAGCAUCCUCAGGCUGGGCUCAGGGGCCCCAGCAUCACAGCCUGAGCAGGAGAGCCUCAACAGGGAGAUUCUGGGUAGGGACUGCUGGUGCAGGUACACUACUGCCCUUGGAAGGACCUGGGAGCACUUAGGGUGUUUCUGGGACUAUGAAGAUGAGGGCUGUUGAGUCAGCUGACACUGGGAUUUCAUUUUCAUUCUUGUGCCUGGUGCAUGAAAGAAAGAUGCUUGGAGAGUGCUAAAUGUUUGCUAGAGAUUUCUUAAAUCAAAAAGGAAUUGGCAGCAUGUGGUAUAGAAACUGAGUUGUAUCACAGCCUCUCUCAAAGGCAAUGCCAGUAAAGAGUCCAGUGCCUGUAGCCGAGAACAGGAAUCCUCUCUCCUGAUUGGAGAAUAAGCCAUCUUUUCUCAGCUGCUUUGGCAACUAAUAUUAACGAUGAUGCGUAUAAUAAUAAUGAUUGUAACUAACAUUUACUGAAUGUUUAUCAAGCACCAUGCAAUAUUCUAGGUCCUUUACAUGUAACAAUUCACUUUAUUUUAUUUUAUUUAUUAUUUAUUUAUUAUUUUACUUUUUUCGAGACAGCAUCGCACUCUGUCUGGAACACAGUGGUGCGAUCUCAGUUCAUUGCAACCUCCGCCUCCCGGGCUCAAGCCAUCCUCCCACUUCAGCCUCCUGAGUAGCUGGGACCACAGGCAUAUGCCGCCACACCUAGCUAAUUUUUUUGUAUUUUUAAUACAGACAGGGUUUUUGCAUGUUCCCCAGGCCAGUCUCGAACUUCUGAGCUCAAGCAAUCUGUCUGCCUCAGCCUCCCAAAGCGCUGGGAUUACAGGCAUGAGCCACAGUGCCUGGCCACAAUUCAC